ensembl:lncRNA novel transcript
ACCCACAAUGCAUUGCGCACUAAAUAAUGUUCGUCUUUAAAAUUAUUUCCCCUUUUUCCUUCAACAUAUCUUUCUCGGAACCGAGAUUGCUGUCCCAGAAUUGUCUGAAGAAAAAGGCUGAAGUCAAUAGCUCUUUUGGGCCGAAGGAAAGUUACCAUUACCCGUUUAGGAGUAGCCGUUACCUGAGAACUGUAGUGUCGACGACUGAUGUUAUACUCUGGUUUCUCUUCAAAUCGUAUAAAUCUUUCGCCUUUUACUAAAGAUUUCCGUGGAGAGAAACGAGUGUGAGUCUGAAACCAAUUUUUUGAGGCCUUGCGUUUCUUAGCAGGGCUUAUUUUAAGUGUUUUAAAAACAGAUGCGAUUCCGUUAAAUCGCGUGUGGAGCUAUGUAAAGUGUAUUAUAGAACAAAUGCGAGUUACGGUUUUUCAGCUUUUCGCUUUGUUAAGAACUUCAAAGAGGAACCAGGAGUACGGGAAGAGCAUGAAAGUGGACAAGGAGCGUGACCAUGGAAGCACAGCACCACAGGGAGGGGUUUAGGCCUCCGGAUGACUGCGGGCAGGCCUGGAUAAUAUCCAGCCUCCCACAAGAAGCUGGUGGAGCAGAGUGUUCCCUGACUCCUCCAAGGAAACGGAGACUCCCUUUCACGGUUUGCUAAGUAACGGGUGCCUUCCCAGGCACUGGCAUUACCACUUGACCAAGGAGCCCUCAAGCGGCCCUGAUGCAGGUGUGACAGAGGGCUCACCUCUUGCCUUCUUGGUCACUUCUCACAAUGUCCCUUCAGCCCCUGUCCCUAUACCCGCCGGUUAUUCCUUGGUUAUACAACAAAGAGUAAUAUUAAAAGUUAAUGAUUAAUAAUGUUUAUACUAAUGAUUUAUAAUGUCCAUGAUCAUCUCUAUAUCUAAUUUGUAUUAUAACUAUUCUCAUUCUAACUAUUUUGUUUAUUAUACUGAAA